UGGGCCCAGUCAUCUUGGAUCAAUUAUUCCAAAUAUUUCUUUAAAAUGCAGAGUGAAAUCAUGCAGAGUAAAAUAACCAACACCUGGAAAUGAAGGGUCAAGUGAGUCCAUGUGCAGCCUACUUCUCCCCUGGGAUGACUAACUUGUUGCUUGAUGGAAUCCUGUGGCUGUGCCUGGCCCUGGAGGUCUCAUAUUGUCUAACAGUAUCUGGCCUAACGUUUUACCUCACAUGCCUGACAAACAACUCAGCUGGUUGGCUAGAAAGUGGAGGGAGUUUCGAACAUUGCCCACAAUCAAAAGGAGAGUCAAAUGUUCCUCAAACUUUGUACAGUCAGCAAAUAUCUCAAUGGCAUCCAGUUGUGAAUGUAGAUGUCAGGUACAAUGUUGAUUGAAAGAAGGCCAACCACUUAACAUAGACAAUCCUGGUAGCAGCAUCCAGCUAGCAGAACAAUUCCUGAGAAAAAUAACUCUUUUUGACCUAACGUGAUCCAGCUGUAGCACUGUAUGCUGCUUCUCAAAGCACUAGCCAGGAAAUGUUAUGCCUGCAUGAUGCUUAGACACAGGCCUAGAAAAAAAGAUCAGUUCAUCUCAGUUCCUUUUGAAAAGUUGAAAACAAUCAGGCCAAUUGCCCGAGAGAGUGCAAGUUAGAAACUCUUGCAUUUGUUCCUCUCGUAUGACAAAGUCCACAUUUUCAAUCCCCCAGCUUAAAGAGAGAUAUGCUUUAUUAUACUUAUGGGAAGUAAAUACACUUCUAAUAUGUUCAUACACUAAGAUGCUUUCGUUAUAUCUUUUUGCCCCUUUUUAGUAAAUAGUUUAAUCUCCUGUGAUAGUUUUAAGCCCCGACUUUGACAGUACAGCUUAUCCUGGAUAAUAACUUAGUAACCACAACAUCUUAUGCCAUCUGUAUAAUAUCAAAUACAUUUUUAUAUCAGCAUUAAAAAAAACCUUACUUACAAAAAUCCAAGAUAUUAACUGUAUCACUGCCAGCUGAACUUCCCAGGACCUGAGCACAUUGUUGCCAUGAUUACCCUUGUGUUUUUUUGGCUUCAUAGCUGAUAUAUAAGUACAGCCAUGAAACAGAGCUACAAGUAAUCAAGUUUAAUGGCCACUGUAAAGUAAAAUGCUAAACAUUGUAGUUGCUGACAUUUUUCAUAGGGGGGAAAAAAAACUUGGGUUAAGUCUGCCUGACCAACAUUCACAUAAAAUGCCAGACCUCUGUGACAGAUGGCUUAGGAGAAGAUGCCAUGCAAUGGGGGAUGCAGUAGUUUUAUAGUGCAAAAACCAUAAAUAGUGCAGAUUUUCUGUCACUGACAAAAUACCAGCAACUCAGAAGGCAGGAGACAACAGCAAACAAAUUCCAUAAAACAGUCAAAGUCUUCUCAAAUUAAAUCACAGAUCCAAACAUGUCAGGAAACACAUCUGACAGUUGGGAAUCUGGCCUCAUUUAGCAGCACCAAAGAGGCUUGGUUGGAAGACAAUACACGUUUGUUGAUGUGAAUAUGAAGAUACUGGCGAGGGCUAUCUUCUGAUGUGCAAGGGAGUUGGGUUGGAGUGAAGCUCUGGCCUGCAGGCCAAAUGUGGCCUACUUGGCCAACUCAGUCAGGACCCCUGAAAGUGCCCCAGGUUACCCCUCAUGUACUCCUGCUUUAAAGACACCUGAGCCAAUGCCCAUCACCACAACUUGAAGCAGAGGUUCUGGGGGAUGGUGCUGGUUGAGCAGAUCGGCAGCUAUACUGAGAUAUCUCAAGUUGCUUCACCAAGUUUGUUCUGCAGAGAAAAUGAAGGGAACAAUAAGAAAGAACAAUACAUUUUGGCAAGGCAUCUUCUUGGCAACUCACCAUUGCAAAUAUGAAGGACAUGGAAACAAAUGUGAAGAUCUGCACUACUGAAGAAGUUACAGUAAAACCAAUGUGCAUCUUAAAUUGUGAACUCGCUUGAUCUGCCACAAUGCUGCACAAAGCACGAAACCAAUAUAACGGAUACUUUCCAAUCCCUCAAUUUAAAAUGGCUUAGGUUUAUGCAGCAUAUUUAUCUGUUGUAACAAAGUAGAUGCUGAAAUGCCACAAUGUGGUAAUCAUAACAAUAUGAUAAUGCUAUCUGGUGUACAUAUUACAGGAGUAUGCAGAAUGCAUGUGAAUAAUAAUUAGCUGCUACCAAAAUAAUUAAAGUUACACACCAAGAUUUUUUUCUACGUAUUCCUUGUGCACACCAUUUCACUCUAAACUUAAUUAAAUUUGUUAGUUGCUUUGCUUUGCCAGUUAGGUUAGCAAGUUGAAACAAGGCAGUGGAUUAUGGCUAUUUGCAGUGUGGAUACAUGAAAAAUAUUUGUAACAUAAUUAAUGGAAUGUU